rnacentral:rRNA from 1 species
AUUGAACGCUGGCGGCAGGCCUAACACAUGCGAGUCGAGCGGAUGAAGGGAGCUUGCUCCUGGAUUCAGCGGCGGACGGGUGAGUAAUGCCUAGGAAUCUGCCUGGUAGUGGGGAUAACGUCCGGAAACGGGCGCUAAUACCGCAUACGUCCUGAGGGAGAAAGUGGGGGAUCUUCGGACCUCACGCUAUCAGAUGAGCCUAGGUCGGAUUAGCUAGUUGGUGGGGUAAAGGCCUACCAAGGCGACGAUCCGUAACUGGUCUGAGAGGAUGAUCAGUCACACUGGAACUGAGACACGGUCCAGACUCCUACGGGAGGCAGCAGUGGGGAAUAUUGGACAAUGGGCGAAAGCCUGAUCCAGCCAUGCCGCGUGUGUGAAGAAGGUCUUCGGAUUGUAAAGCACUUUAAGUUGGGAGGAAGGGCAGUAAGUUAAUACCUUGCUGUUUUGACGUUACCAACAGAAUAAGCACCGGCUAACUUCGUG